rnacentral:lncRNA from 1 species
GGAGCCGGGGCAGCUGUUUUUGUAAUCAGUCUCGUAGGAUUGAAAAGCAUCGCUUCAACCCAGGAGUGGGGCUCUCAGUUCUACCUCUGGGGACGGUGUUGAGGGGGUCUCAUUGCUCACGAAACCUCUGUCUGCUUCUCCUUCUCUACAAUAGUCUUGCAUUUUUGGCACAUCCUCUGGGACUCUGCUUUCCUGGAAGACAUUUUCUUUCUGUAACUCCUCUGCCGCUUCAUCAAACCUCUCGCCAAAGUGGGGAAGAGAAUCAUCCCCCACCCCGCAGAUUAUGUGAACUGCCUCAGCCUGCAAGUGGCCAACAUGCUGGCAGUACCAGGAA